CUACGGGUGGCUGCAGUGAGGAAUAUUGGUCAAUGGGCGCAAGCCUGAACCAGCCAUCCCGCGUGGAGGAAGACGGCCCUAUGGGUUGUAAACUCCUUUUAUAAGGGAAGAAUAUACGUAUCGUGAUAUGUUUUGACGGUACCUUAUGAAUAAGCAUCGGCUAACUCCGGGCCAGCAGCCGCGGUAAUACGGAGGAUGCAAGCGUUAUCCGGAUUCAUUGGGUUUAAAGGGUGCGCAGGCGGACCAAUAAGUCAGUGGUGAAAUCUUACGGCUCAACCGUGAAACUGCCAUUGAUACUGUUAGUCUUGAGUACGGCUGAGGUAGGCGGAAUGUGUAAUGUAGCGGUGAAAUGCUUAGAUAUUACACAGAACACCAAUUGCGUAGGCAGCUUACUAGACCGUAACUGACGCUGAGGCACGAAAGCGUGGGUAGCGAACAGGAUUAGAUACCCGAGUAGUC
rnacentral:rRNA from 1 species